rnacentral:lncRNA from 1 species
ACAUUAGUUUAGCGACUUUGCGGUCGUUUAAUUUUGGGUUUCGUUUAACGACUUUGCGGUCGUUGGUUUUAUUUGUGGACUUUGGGUUUUGGCAUUUUUAUUUGUGGACUUUGUGUUUUGGGUUUUAUUUGUGGAUUUUGGGUUUUGGGAUUUUAUUUGUGGACUUUGGAUUUUGGGGUUUUGUUUGUGGACUUUGGACUUUGGAUUUUGUGGA